AUUGAACGCUGGCGGCAGGCCUAACACAUGCAAGUCGAGCGGAGCGGCGGCCGGGUGAGUAAUGCCUAGGAAUAUGCCUGGUAGUGGGGGAUAACGUCCGGAAACGGGCGAUAAUACCGCAUACUAUCAGAUGAGCCUAGGUCGGAUUAGCUAGUUGGUGGGUUAAAGGCCUCUCAAGGAGACGAUCCGGAACUGGUAUGAGAGGAUGAUCAGUCAAACGGGAACUGAGACACGGUCCAGACUCCUACGGUAGGCAGCAGUGGUGAAUAUUGGACAAGGGGCGAAAGACUGCUCCAGCCAUGCCGCGUGUUUGAAGAAGUUCUUCGGAUUGUAAAGCACUUUAAGUUGGGAGGCGUUACCAACAUAAUAAGCACCGGCUAACUUCGUGCCAGCAGCCGCGGUAAUAC
rnacentral:rRNA from 1 species